rnacentral:rRNA from 1 species
GGGGAUGACGGUACCGGAAGAAUAAGCACCGGCUAACUACGUGCCAGCAGCCGCGGUAAUACGUAGGGUGCAAGCGUUAAUCGGAAUUACUGGGCGUAAAGCGUGCGCAGGCGGUUUGCUAAGACCGAUGUGAAAUCCCCGGGCUCAACCUGGGAACUGCAUUGGUGACUGGCAGGCUAGAGUAUGGGAGAGGGGGGUAAAAUUCCACGUGUAGCAGUGAAAUGCGUAGAGAUGUGGAGGAAUACCGAUGGCGAAGGCAGCCCCCUGGGCCAAUACUGACGCUCAUGCACGAAUGCGUGGGGAGCAAACAGGAUUAGAUACCCUGGUAGUCCACGCCCUAAACGAUGUCAACUAGUUGUUGGGGAUUCAUUUCCUUAGUAACGUACCUAACGCGUGAAGUUGACCGCCUGGGGAGUACGGUCGCAAGAUUAAAACUCAAAGGAAUUGACGGGGACCCGCACAAGCGGUGGAUGAUGUGGAUUAAUUCCAUGCAACGC